AACGCAACUUGCGCUCUCUGGUAUUCCGGAGAGCAUGCCUGUUUGAGUGUCAUGAUCUCUCAACCAAUAGGGUUUCUUAUUGGCUUGGAUCUGGGUGCUGCCAGCUUGUCUGGCUCGCCUUAAAGGAGUUAGCGAGUAUAGCAAUGUCGUCUGGCGUAAUAAGUUUCGCUGGGUUGACGUGUGAAGCACGCUUCUAAUCGCCCUCGGGCAAUUUUUGACUCUGGCCUCAAAUCAGGUAGGACUACCCGCUGAACUUAA
rnacentral:misc_RNA from 4 species